GAAACAUAACAUAUCACCCUGCAGCCCAAGACUGGUUGCCCACUGAAGUUAAGCAGGGUUGAGCCUGGUCAGUACCUGGAUGGGAGACCUCCUGGGUCUAUGACUCU
rnacentral:rRNA from 1 species